rnacentral:snRNA from 1 species
AUAGAAAAAAAAAAAAUCUGUUCUUAUCAGUUUAAUAUCUGAUACGUCCCCUAUCUGGGGACCAUAUAUUAAAUGGAUUUUUGGAACAGGGAGAUGGAAGAAGAGCUUGCUCUGUCCACUCCACGCAUCGACCUGGUAUUGCAGUACCUCCAGGACCGGUGCACCUCUC